rnacentral:rRNA from 1 species
AGGACGAACGCUGGCGGCGUGCUUAACACAUGCAAGUCGAGCGGAAAGGCCCUUCGGGGUACUCGAGCGGCGAACGGGUGAGUAACACGUGAGUAACCUGCCCUAGGCUUUGGGAUAACCCUCGGAAACGGGGGCUAAUACUGGAUAUUCCCGCGGGAUCGCAUGGUUUUGUGGGGAAAGGUUUUCCGGCUUGGGAUGGGCUCGCGGCCUAUCAGCUUGUUGGUGGGGUGAUGGCCUACCAAGGCGACGACGGGU